GUGCCAGCCGCCGCGGUAAUACGUAGGGGGCGAGCGUUGUCCGGAAUUACUGGGCGUAAAGGGCGCGUAGGCGGCUUAAUAAGUCUGAUGUGAAAAUCCUGGGCUUAACCCAGGGCUUGCAUUAGAAACUGUUGAGCUUGAGGACAGGAGAGGAAAGCGGAAUUCCCAGUGUAGCGGUGAAAUGCGUAGAUAUUGGGAAGAACACCAGUGGCGAAGGCGGCUUUCUGGACUGCACCUGACGCUGAGGCGCGAAAGCCAGGGGAGCGAACGGGAUUAGAUACCCCGGUAGUCCUGGCCGUAAACGAUGGAUACUAGGUGUGGGAGGUAUCGACCCCUUCCGUGCCGCAGUUAACACAUUAAGUAUCCCGCCUGGGGAGUACGGCCGCAAGGCUGAAACUUAAAUAAAUUGACGG
rnacentral:rRNA from 1 species